UCAAGCGGGUGAAGGCACACGGUGGAUGCCUUGGCAUCAAGGGCCGAAGAAGGGCGUAGUACGGCUACGAUAAGCCCCGGUUAGCUGCCAAGCAAGCUUAACCGAGGAUUCCCGAAUGGGGCAACCCAUCCCGAUAAAAUCGGGAUACCCCCGGAUGAACACAUAGUCCGGGCGGAGGUAAGCGGGGGAAGUGAAACAUCUCAGUACCCCGAGGAAAAGAAAACAUUCCCGGAGUAGUGGCGAACGAAAUGGGAACAGCCUAAACUCUAUAAGCUUAGUGGUUCUAUGACCUAUGCGUAUAGAGAGUCGUAAGGCAGGUAUGACCGAACUUAGAAUAAGUCAAGGAGUUACAAACCAAACUCUAGUCAAAGGUCUCUGGAAAGAGCCGCCAUAGCGGGUGAUAGCCCCGUAGACGAAAGAGGUAGGCUCCUAACCUGUCCUUGAGUACCACGGGACACGUGAAAUCUUGUGGGAAGCUGCCCUGACCACAGGGCAAGGCUAAAUACUCUUGAUGACCGAUAGUGAACUAGUACCGUGAGGGAAAGGUGAAAAAUACCCCGAGAGGGGAGUGAAAUAGAUCUGAAACCGUGUGCUGACAAGCAGUCAGAGCCUCGGCGCAAGUCGGGGUAAUGGCGUGCCUAUUGAAGAAUGAUCCAGCGAGUUAAUCUACGUGGCUGGUUAAAUGAUUAAGUCAUGCAGCCAAAGCGAAAGCAAGUCUGAAUAGGGCGUUAUAGUCGCGUGGAUUAGACCCGAAGCCGGGUGAGCUAUCCAUGACCAGGGUGAAGCUCCGAUAAAAUCGGAGUGGAGGCCCGAACUGGUCAACGUUGCAAAGUUGUCAGAUGAGCUGUGGAUAGAGGUGAAAUGCCAAACGAACCCGGGGAUAGCUGGUUCUCCCCGAAAUGUAUUGAGGUACAGCCUCGGAUGGUCACUAAUGGAGGUAGGGCUCUGGAUGGAUUAGGGGGAUAACAUCUUACCAACUCCAACUAAACCGCAAAUACCAUUAGUCAAAGUCCGGGAGUGAGACUACGGGGGAUAAGCUCCGUGGUCGAGAGGGAAACAGCCCAGACCAUCAGCUAAGGUCCCUAAGAACAGACUAAGUGGCAAAGGAAGUAGUACUGCCCAGACAGCCAGGAGGUUGGCUCAGAAGCAGCCACCCUUUAAAGAGUGCGUAACAGCUCACUGGUUAAGUGGUGCUGCGCCGAUAAUCCAACGGGGCUCAAGUCUGUCACCGAAGCUAUGGCUUUUUUCCCGAUUCGUCGGGAAGAGAGGGUAGGGGAGCGUUCUCUUCGCUGAGAAGUUGUUGCGUGAGCAACGGUGGAGCGGAGAGAAGUGAGAAUGCUGGAAUGAGUAGCGCUAGGUGUGUGAGAAACACAUCCAUCGAAUAUCUGAGGUUUCCUAUGCAAGGUUAAUCCGCAUAGGGUUAGUCGGGCCUAAGCCGAGGCCGCAAGGCGUAGGCGAUGGACAACGGGUUAUUAUUCCCGUACCGUUUUUACUGAGGUAAAGGGGGGACGCGGGAGGAUAGGUUAGGCAUACCCAUUGGACAUGGUGUGUCAACCAUCAAAGGCAAUGCCGGAGCAGGCAAAUCCACUCCGGAUGUUAAGCUGAAGGUGGGAGAAAGUUGAGGCGAGAGCCAAGGCGAUUUAGCUGAUUCCACGCCGCCAAGAAAAUCCUCGUUACCGUUGAUGUAAGAACGCCCGUACCGCAAACCGACUCUGGUAGAUAGGGAUAAACGUCCCAAGGUGAUCGAGAUAACCCUCGUUAAGGAACUCGGCAAUCUAACCCCGUAACUUAGGGAAAAGGGGUGUCCCGACUAUGUCGGGAUGACAUUAAAUUGGUCCAAGCAACUGUUUAACAAAAACACAGGUCUGUGCUAAAGGCGUAAGCCGAUGUAUACAGGCUGAUACCUGCCCAGCGCCAGUAGGUUAAGGGGAGAAGUCAGGAGCAAUCCGAAGCCUUGAACCGAAGCCCUGGUAAGCGGCGGCCGUAACUAUAACGGGCCUUAGGUAGCGAAGUCCCUUGUCGGGUAAGUUCCGACCCGCACGAAUGGUGUAAUGACUAGGGCGCUGUCUCAACGAUGGGCUCGUCCAAAUUGAAGUACCCGUGAAGAUGCGGGUUACCCGCGACAGGACAAAAAGACCCCGUGGAGCUUUACUAUAACUUGUCACUGAGUCUGGGCUUAUCAUGUGUAGGAUAGGGGGGAGGCUUUGAAGCCGGGGCGCCAGCCUCGGUGGAGCCAACGUUGAAAUACCACUCUUGAUGAGUUUAGCCUCUAACCCUAGAUCAAGCUGGGGGACAGUGGCUGGUGGGUAGUUUGACUGG
rnacentral:rRNA from 1 species